UACAAAGGGUGCAAGCGUUGUUCGGAAUUACUGGGCGUAAAGCGCGUGUAGGCGGUUUGGCAAGUCAGACGUGAAAUCCCUCAGCUUGACUGAGGAACUGCAUCUGAUACUGCCAGACUAGAGUGUCGGAGGGGAUGGUGGAAUUCCCGGUGUAGAGGUGAAAUUCGUAGAUAUCGGGAGGAACACCUGUGGCGAAGGCGGCCAUCUGGAAGACAACUGACGCUGAGACGCGAAAGCGUGGGUAGCAAACAGG
rnacentral:rRNA from 1 species